rnacentral:lncRNA from 1 species
AGACAAGUCUCAGAGAAUUUUCACAGAAGAGGAAUAUUAUUAACACGAGAAUCAUGUGAAAGUCAACAUACAAACUGGAAGACUGCUGAAUGCUCACAGCGCCUUGCCCACAGGUUCAUUAUACCCUCCUUUAUAGAGAGGUGAUACAGCUCUGCUCAAAAGUUCCUGGAAAGCUUAACAAUAACUUAAGCAACUGAGUUCCUCGAGAUCAAGGAGUAGGAAG